rnacentral:lncRNA from 1 species
UCUCUUCAUUUGCAAGCCUCCACAGAGAGUGAUAGAUUUAAGUGAAGAAGAGCAAAGACAGUGGGAGGAAGAGCAGUUGAAAUGUCAGGUGAAGUUUGAAGAGGCUCAGAUAGACCCUGCCCCCUUCCAGCUAGUGGAGAGGACUUCCUUACAGAAAGUUCACUCUCUGUUCUCACUGCUAGGCCUGAACCAUGCCUAUGUCACCAAUACAGGGAGGUUGGUAGGAGUAGUUGCACUUAAAGAGGUAAACACAUAUCAACAUGUUACUAUCAUAACUAUAUAAUACUGUAAACUUGAACCAUGCCUAUGUCACCAAUACAGGGAGGUUGGUAGGAGUAGUUGCACUUAAAGAGGUGAGGAGGGCCAUUGAGGGCCAGGUAGAAGAAGACCAUGAACUUAUGCGGACACACAAGCGUGGCAGCACGGUGGAACUGGAGAUGGAAGUGCGGGAACGGUCGGAUAGUGAGGCUUGAACUACAUCAACUCAUCAGAUAGUGAGGCGUAAAUAAUAAUUGCUCAUGGUCAGUUUGGGGCAGAAAGGAAAGUGAAGCACAUGGAAACUGAAAUAUUUUAUCAGGACAUGAAAUAUGCCAGAAGACAGUGAAGAGAACAUUACUAGGAGCUGUGUACCAGUAGAGAGAGAGGAGAGUAUGAACUCUUAACAUUGGUGCUGUGGUCAGAAUACUUGGUGUUUACCAUGUACCCCCCUCUCACUGCUGACAUACUGCAUUUAGAGAGUUAUCAAAAUAAAGAACAAAGAGCUAUGGCAUGUCAUGAUAGUCCAUGACUUGACAGUCAGUGUCAUGGUAACCAUUGCCAUGACAAUAUGCCAUGACAGUGCAUGACCUGACAUUCAGUAUAUGGUAAUUGUUG